UUAUUAUUCAACAAAGCAAAUAAAGUCAUGGCUUCCUGUAGUCCCAGCUACUCAGGAGGCUGAGGCAGGAGAAUGGUGUGAACCCGGGAGGCGGAGCUUGCAGUGAGCCGAGAUCGGGCCACUGCACUCCAGCCUGGACGACUGAGCGAGACUCCGUCUCAAAAAAAAAAAAAAAAGGAACCAACCAACCAAACUUCCUUGACAUCUAAACACACCAGGCACAUACUCAGUAACAAUUAUUAUUA
rnacentral:lncRNA from 10 species